UACGUAGGGUGCAAGCGUUAAUCGGAAUUACUGGGCGUAAAGCGUGCGCAGGCGGUUGUGCAAGACCGAUGUGAAAUCCCCGGGCUUAACCUGGGAAUGGCAUUGGUGACUGCACGGCUAGAGUGUGUCAGAGGGGGGUAGAAUUCCACGUGUAGCAGUGAAAUGCGUAGAUAUGCGGAGGAACACCGAUGGCGAAGGCAGUCCCCUGGGCCUGUACUGACGCUCAUGCACGAAAGCGUGGGGAGCAAACAGG
rnacentral:rRNA from 1 species